GGGGGCUGCUUCCUUUUAUUAAUAGCUUCCAAUUCUUCUAACAUAACUGCUCUUGUAAUAAGAAUUUAAUACUACAGAACACAAUUUAUUAUCUACUGACAAUGUAUGAAAUUUGAGGCAAAAACAACUAUUUUAGGUGAACCCUUCAUCUGAAUCUUGGAUAAACCAAGUACCUGUCUAUGUCUCCAAAGUCAUCCUCGCUCCUCACCGCAAACCAGAACUAGUCACAACUUGGUUGAUCUCUCAACUUCUCCUGCAGACCUUAGAGAUUUUGACAUUACAGGACAUCAGCCGUGGAUAUUUAAAAAAACAAAACAAAACUCACUACUAGUUUUUGCCAACUUCCCAGUGACAGCUAUCAACUCUCUGGGAUACUGACAUCGAGAGAGGGAAAGGAAAUGUUUUCAAAUCAAUGUCUCUUUGUACAA
rnacentral:lncRNA from 1 species